rnacentral:rRNA from 1 species
AGUUUGAUCCUGGCUCAGAUUGAACGCUGGCGGCAGGCCUAACACAUGCAAGUCGAGCGGGGUUUUCGGACCUAGCGGCGGACGGGUGAGUAAUGCGUAGGAAGCUACCCGAUAGAGGGGGAUACCAGUUGGAAACGACUGUUAAUACCGCAUAAUGUCUACGGACCAAAGUGUGGGACCUUCGGGCCACAUGCUAUCGGAUGCGCCUACGUGGGAUUAGCUAGUUGGUGGGGUAAUGGCUCACCAAGGCGACGAUCCCUAGCUGGUUUGAGAGGAUGAUCAGCCACACUGGAACUGAGACACGGUCCAGACUCCUACGGGAGGCAGCAGUGGGGAAUAUUGGACAAUGGGCGCAAGCCUGAUCCAGCCAUGCCGCGUGUGUGAAGAAGGCCUUCGGGUUGUAAAGCACUUUCAGCGAGGAGGAAGGGAGUUGUGUUAAUAGCACAGCUUCUUGACGUUACUCGCAGAAGAAGCACCGGCUAACUCUGUGCCAGCAGCCGCGGUAAUACAGAGGGUGCAAGCGUUAAUCGGAAUUACUGGGCGUAAAGCGCACGUAGGCGGUUUUUUAAGUCAGAUGUGAAAGCCCCGGGCUCAACCUGGGAAUUGCAUCUGAAACUGGAAAACUAGAGUGUGUGAGAGGGGGGUAGAAUUCCAAGUGUAGCGGUGAAAUGCGUAGAGAUUUGGAGGAAUACCAGUGGCGAA